GCGAUCAUAUCAACACUAAUGCACCAGAUACUAUUAGAACUCCGCAGUUAAGCGUGCUUGUGUGAUAGUAGAACUAGGAUGGGUAAUCACCUAGGAAGUUCUCGUGUUGCACCCC